rnacentral:rRNA from 1 species
UACGAAGGGUGCAAGCGUUACUCGGAAUUACUGGGCGUAAAGGGUGCGUAGGUGGUUCUUUAAGUCUGCUGUGAAAGCCCCGGGCCCAACCUGGGAAUGGCAGUGGAUACUGGAGAGCUAGAGUGCGGUAGAGGGUAGUGGAAUUCCCGGUGUAGCAGUGAAAUGCGUAGAGAUCGGGAGGAACACCAGUGGCGAAGGCGGCCGGCUGGGGGUGCCCUGACGCUGAGGCGCGAAAGCGUGGGGAGCGAACCGG